UGCAAGUCUUGCACUGCAUGGAUUGUAGGAUAUAACAUCAUGCACUGGGUCAGAAGAGAGCAGCCAGAAUGGCAUCGAGACAACUUGGAUUUGAAUGGACUUUGGCAAUAUCAGAAAAUGUUGGUGAGAAUUCUGCUGGGAUUGUAGAUGCCUCCAGUGAUCAUGUACACUGUAUUUGUGGAUGCCUCAACUAAUACAAAAAUGCCAGAGAUUUGAUGGAGGAAAGUGGGUAUAGUUUGCAAUCCAGUCUGUGAUGUUCUCUCAUUUGAAGAGAAGCUAAAGGAACAUAAUGAAUUACAAACAUCGUCUCUCCUCCUUGAAGAAUGAAGCUGCCUCACUCAGUGUUUUUCUGCUUGGCUAAAGACAUAGGGGAGUGUAUAUUCCCAGUGCGUGCUAGUGGCUGAAGGCAGAAGUUACAGUUUGUGCAGAACUAAACUAAUGAAAAUACAACUGUAACCAUUCUUGCAAUGGAUAGCGUGAAAAUCAGUAGGAGUUUACAGUAGCAGUACAAGUCUUAUCAUCGAAUGAAUGAAUGAAAGAAAAAAAUAAUUAUAAUAAUAUUUCAAUUAACAUAGCACAUUUAAACCCCAAUCACCGACUAGGACCCCAUUGUGUUAGGUGCUGUAAAUACAGAACGAAAAACAGCCUCUGUCCCAAAGAGCUUACAGUCUAACUAUGGAUUAAACUCACCUUCUUUUACUGGUCCAAGUGUUGCCAUAGUCUCCUAAUUUUUAUAGCACUGUAACAGUACCUUUGAGUUCAGUUGUUGCCUCACCCUUUUAGAGGUUAAUGUUUGUACUGAUGUCCAGUUGACCUGACAGCCCCAGAAUCUGGCUACACAGAACUAAAACUACAAAGCUCUAUCUUGUGGGGAGCCUUGGGGUGGAUGGCAAGGACACUCACACCGAGGACAAAGUAAAUCCUUAGAUAUCUUUAUUAGAACAAUGGACAAAGACAGAAAAGCUCCAAGCCUCAUCAAAAGAUAAGAGGAAUACAGUACUGAGGCUCUCU